rnacentral:rRNA from 1 species
ACGGGUGAGUAAUAUAUCGGAACGUGCCCUAGAGUGGGGGAUAACUAGUCGAAAGACUAGCUAAUACCGCAUACGAUCUAAGGAUGAAAGUGGGGGAUCGCAAGACCUCAUGCUCCUGGAGCGGCCGAUAUCUGAUUAGCUAGUUGGUGGGGUAAAAGCCUACCAAGGCGACGAUCAGUAGCUGGUCUGAGAGGACGACCAGCCACACUGGGACUGAGACACGGCCCAGACUCCUACGGGAGGCAGCAGUGGGGAAUUUUGGACAAUGGGGGCAACCCUGAUCCAGCAAUGCCGCGUGAGUGAAGAAGGCCUUCGGGUUGUAAAGCUCUUUUGUCAGGGAAGAAACGGUAGUAGCUAAUAUCUAUUACUAAUGACGGUACCUGAAGAAUAAGCACCGGCUAACUACGUGCCAGCAGCCGCGGUAAUACGUAGGGUGCAAGCGUUAAUCGGAAUUACUGGGCGUAAAGCGUGCGCAGGCGGUUGUGUAAGACAGAUGUGAAAUCCCCGGGCUCAACCUGGGAAUUGCAUUUGUGACUGCACGGCUAGAGUGUGUCAGAGGGGGGUAGAAUUCCACGUGUAGCA